GACAGAGGGUGCAAACGUUGUUCGGAAUUACUGGCGUAAAGCGCGUGUAGGCUGCUUCGCAAGUCGGAUGUGAAAGCCCUGGGCUCAACCCAGGAAGUGCAUUCGAAAACUGCAGAGCUGGAGUCCUGGAGAGGAAGGCGGAAUUCUCGGUGUAGAGGUGAAAUUCGUAGAUAUCGAGAGGAACACCGGUGGCGAAGGCGGCCUUCUGGACAGUGACUGACGCUGAGACGCGAAAGCGUGGGGGAGCAAACAGG
rnacentral:rRNA from 1 species